CAAUAGCGUAUAUUAAAGUUGUUGCAGUUAAAAAGCUCGUAGUUGGAUUUCUGGUAGGAGUGACCGUUCCGAACUUGAUUGUUCGUGUAUUGUGUUUUCUCCAGCCAUCCUUGUGGGGAACUUUUCUUGCAUUAAUUUGUAGGGAUUGGGACCCGCAUCGUUUACUGUGAAAAAAUUAGAGUGUUUAAAGCAGGCAAUCGCUUGAAUACAUUAGCAUGGAAUAAUAAGAUAGGACUUUGGUACUAUUUUGUUGGUUUGCAUACCAAAUUAAUGAUCAACAGGAACAGUUUGAGGAUAUUCGUAUGAACAUGUCAGAGGUGAAAUUCUUGGAUUUUGAUCAGACGAACUACUGCGAAAGCAUUUAUCAAGGAUGUUUUCAUUAA
rnacentral:rRNA from 1 species